rnacentral:lncRNA from 1 species
AUAGCUGAAGCUGGAAAUUUGAAAAAGAGAUGUUUUAAGAAGGGUGUUAAUGUUUAUUAUAAGAUUAAGCUGUAAAACAGUAACGGCACAGAGAAAUGCAGCAGCAGUGUUACUUUUAGCUUUAUUGCAGGGAUUUCUGCAGUUUAAAGUCUUUAUUAGAAACCUGCACUGUGUUAAUAACAGCAGCAGUGUGAAUUAGUGUGUAUACGGAUGGAGCUGGGUGGGCUGCUGCCCCCGGGGCAGGUGUGGGGGGCUGCGGUGGGGAUGCCCGGUAAACGAAGGCGCAGUGAUGUAAGCGGUAUUAACGGAGGAUUUGAUGGAGAAAACGGAGCUACAUAUCCCUCAUUCCCCACCCAGACACUCCGUAACCCAAUCACGCCUUCUACACCUUCCAGCAGACACAGUGGGUUUGUGAUGAUUGAUGGUCAGAGAGGUGUUUAUUACUCUGAGAGCUGGGAGCCCAGUGGUAGCACGCUGUACCUGCCUGUGGUCGGCACUGUGCUGGCCAACAUGACCAAGUACGACCAGAUCAGCUUCGAGCAGGGCUGCUUCUGCAUCGGAGACGAGAACGGCAGGUUCCAGCACAAAGCUCAAGGUCAAGCUAUGAACUGCUGGAGGUACAGUGAACAGGACAGGAAGCUCUUCAUCUCACUGUCCUACUUCUUUACCAAUACUCAAGUCUUCCAGGAGAUGUUAAGUUCUCUGGAGAGUCUAUGAGGAAAUUGGACUGGAAUAUGAUACAAAUUCAGCAUCAUAAAAACAAGACUGGACCAGACUGGUCCAAUGCAGCCAUAUAGCUGAACUUUUGUAUUUCAUAGGGCACCAUAUAGCUUUGCACACAUUAAUCCUAGCCAAUAGACCUGCUUUUUACAUUUUUACUGCAGUGUUUUCUGCGUUUCUAAGUUCCUUCCCCUCCAGAGCCUCUUUCAGCUCUGUCAGAAACGCUUCACGACUUGAAUGCAUCAAACAGUUGCACAUGAAUAAAAUAAUAAAAUACACAGACA